rnacentral:rRNA from 1 species
UACGGAGGGUGCGAGCGUUGUCCGGAAUCAUUGGGCGUAAAGGGCGCGUAGGUGGCCCUCAAGCGUGCGGUGAAAGUCAGGGCUCAACCCCUGAUCGGCCGUGCGAACUGGGGAGCUUGAGCACUGUAGAGGCAGGCGGAAUUCCGGGUGUAGCGGUGGAAUGCGGUAGAGAUCCGGAAGAACACCCGUGGCGAAGGCGGCUCUCUGGGACGGUACUGACGCUGAGACGC